rnacentral:lncRNA from 10 species
CAGAGGAGCUAGUCUACAGGAUGGCAGAUCCCUGCUGCUGGAAUCCUGGACUCCUGAGCCUGUUGUACUUCUGGUGGACCUUCCUUUACUUCAGCUAAUGUGGGAAUUAACAUUUGUAUCCUUUCCAUGGAAUACUCGUUAAGAAUACAUCAAACGCAUGCGGUACAAAUGAAUACUUCGAGGACAGCCUGAUGAUUACAUGACACCUGGAGAUUUCCAUGGGGACCUGUGUGGCUUGCCGUUCCAGUUCUGUCCUCUCCGGGGCUUGGGAAGGUUCCACCCAGCUGGACCCCGCCCACGGGCCCACCUGGUGCCAUGCAUGGAGAGGUGAACACGGCUCCCAAGGCCAAGCAUGACAGAACUGGGCAGAAAGAGACUCGGACCAUUUUUCAGGAGCGAUGACCAUCUGCGGACAAGGCCAACCAGCCUUCCUGUCCUAAGAGUCCCAUUUGUCCAAUAAAACUACUUAAAUAAAAGCACCACCCCUCUCCAUGGCCCCCCGCCAGAAACUACAGGAAGGG